rnacentral:rRNA from 1 species
AUGUCAAAAUUGGCUGGCCAUUUUUUUGAAUGCUGCCGAUCUAGAAGCAUGCUUAAGCAUAAAUUAGAAUAUAAAUAUAUAAUAACAUUACCUAUGAUGAGCACUAUAGAGACACGAAAGAGCUGCAACCAUCAGGCCUUGAUUCGAAGGAGCUGCAACCCAUGUGUCAUCCUAUGUUGGGUCGAAGGCAUGCAUCUCGUGUUAUACAAAACAAAACAGCUCGAGAUGGAUCCUACUGCUUACUUCCAUGUGAAUAUUUUUGCAGGACCACUUCAUAGGAGACCUCUUCUUGUUUUCUUAAGAAAAAUGCUGACCUGCUUCUACCGCUAG